CAUUCCCUGGGUAGAGAGAUACAAAAGAGACUGUUUUAAAUCAGCAGGUUGCCACAUAUCAUUAGAGGAAACUGUAUGCAUGUCAGUUACUGAAAAAUUGUAAGAUUCCUGUCAUCUUAUGUUGUUUGUUGUUAAACAAAACCUAUAAUGUGACAUGCUGUGGGUUAUUGUAUAUGACACAUCGAUUAUCAAACCAAUCAUUACCAACCGGAUAAAAAAAAUUUUUUUAGCAAUACUUGUUAUAAUUUUUUAUUGAUUUAAAAACAUAAUUAUUAUUUUUUAUGAUAUACAGUUAUUGAGGUAAAACCAAAACAAUUCUGGCACUUGUCUAAAUGAAUAAACAAAUAUGGUGUCACGGUCUGAGGUGUGUUCCUGCUGUCACAACCUGUCUCUGAGUUUUCCCUCUGCAGGUGGGCGUGUCUGGAGGUUGACCAAGCUGCAGCAGAUCUGCUCAUCAGCCGUGCAGGUGUAUUUAAGCAGCUGAGAGACUUCUGCACUUCGCUGGAUGAUUACUCUACCUGGGUACCUUCUAAGCCACCUCUUCGUAUUAUAUUGGAGCUCUUUGGACCUUUUGAGAUUUUAGAUGUGUUUAGGAUUUUGGAUUUUGCAUUUACCCUUCCUGCUCUCGUUCACCAGAUAAAACCUCCACCUUCAUCUCCGACUGGCUGAACUCUGGAACUCCUAUCAUCUGGAACUCCUACCUGCUUGUCUCUCAGCUUCUCCCUGGCCAGAACCACCUCCAGCUGCCCACCUAGGCUCCCUGGAUCUCCAUAAACUCAUCUCCCUCCACGUCUCACCUUUUGGAUCUCAGUCCCAGGAAAGCCCUCUCAGCCCAGACCGGACCACUCCUCUCUCAAGCUAGUUCCCUCCUCUCCAUACUAUUUCCCGCACCGGCUCCCUUGUGAAAGAACUCAGCUAUGUUUAUGCUGCUUCCUUGGUUUCCCUUUUAAUAAAUUCUUAUUUAACACUUUA